ACGGUCCUAAGGUAGCGAAAUUCCUUGUCGGGUAAGUUCCGACCCGCACGAAUGGCGUAACGAUGGCCACACUGUCUCCUCCCGAGACUCAGCGAAGUUGAAGUGGUUGUGAAGAUGCAAUCUACCCGCUGCUAGACGGAAAGACCCCGUGAACCUUUACUGUAGCUUUGCAUUGGACUUUGAAGUCACUUGUGUAGGAUAGGUGGGAGGCUUUGAAGCAGAGACGCCAGUCUCUGUGGAGCCGUCCUUGAAAUACCACCCUGGUGUCUUUGAGGUUCUAACCCAGACCCGUAAUCCGGGUCGGGGACCGUGCAUGGUAGGCAGUUUGACUGGGGCGGUCUCCUCCCAAAGAGUAACGGAGGAGUUCGAAGGUUACCUAGGUCCGGUCGGAAAUCGGACUGAUAGUGCAAUGGCAAAAGGUAGCUUAACUGCGAGACCGACAAGUCGAGCAGGUGCGAAAGCAGGACAUAGUGAUCCGGUGGUUCUGUAUGGAAGGGCCAUCGCUCAACGGAUAAAAGGUACUCCGGGGAUAACAGGCUGAUUCCGCCCAAGAGUUCAUAUCGACGGCGGAGUUUGGCACCUCGAUGUCGGCUCAUCACAUCCUGGGGCUGUAGUCGGUCCCAAGGGUAUGGCUGUUCGCCAUUUAAAGUGGUACGUGAGCUGGGUUUAAAACGUCGUGAGACAGUUUGGUCCCUAUCUGCAGUGGGCGUUGGAAGUUUGACGGGGGCUGCUCCUAGUACGAGAGGACCGGAGUGGACGAACCUCUGGUGUACCGGUUGUAACGCCAGUUGCAUAGCCGGGUAGCUAAGUUCGGAAGAGAUAAGCGCUGAAAGCAUCUAAGCGCGAAACUCGCCUGAAGAUGAGACUUCCCUUGUGGUUUAACCACACUAAAGAGUCGUUCGAGACCAGGACGUUGAUAGGUGGGGUGUGGAAGCGCGGUAACGCGUGAAGCUAACCCAUACUAAUUGCUCGUGAGGCUUGACUCU
rnacentral:rRNA from 1 species